GGAGGAUUUAGCUUAAUUAAAGCACCUGGUUUGCACUCAGGAGAUGUAAAGUUAAUUUGCAGUCCUUA
rnacentral:tRNA from 1 species